UACGUAGGGUGCGAGCGUUAAUCGGAAUUACUGGGCGUAAAGCGUGCGCAGGCGGUUUUUUAAGACAGGCGUGAAAUCCCCGGGCUUAACCUGGGAACUGCGCUUGUGACUGGAAGGCUAGAGUACGGCAGAGGAGGGUGGAAUUCCACGUGUAGCAGUGAAAUGCGUAGAGAUGUGGAGGAACACCGAUGGCGAAGGCAGCCCCCUGGGCCGAUACUGACGCUCAUGCACGAAAGCGUGGGGAGCAAACAGG
rnacentral:rRNA from 1 species